AACGUAUGUGGCGAGCGUUGUUCGGAUUCACUGGUUGUAAAGGGCGUGUAGGCGGCAUUGUGUGUCAAAUGUGAAAUUCUACGGCUCAACCGUAGAAAGUCAUUUGAUACUACAAUGCUUGAGUGUAGCCGAGGAAAGCGGAAUUCCCGUUGUAGGGGUGAAAUCUGUAGAUAUCGGGAGGAACACCGAUGGCGAAGGCAGCUUUCUAGGCUACAACUGACGCUGAGGCGCGAAAGCGUGGGGAGCAAACGGG
rnacentral:rRNA from 1 species